UCACAACUUGGUUUGCACGACAUUUAAAGAGCAUCUGUAGUUUGCAAUAGAAAAAGGAAGUCAGAUCUUUGACGGAGUAGCGGUGGCGGAUCCACAUCAGUUAGGCUGAUUGCAGCAAAGGAUCGGAAUAUCUCUUCCAUUGAAAAAGGAGAGACCUGAAUAUUGCCAAAAAUUAGUUGAGAAGCAUUGGGAAAUAUCUACUCUGACACAUAAAAGCAUGGAAAGCUAGCAAAGAGUAUAUUUAUGCUUACAUUAUUCUCUGACAUUAUACUCAAGAAGCACGGAUAGAGCUUACCUUGAAGCGGAUACCAAUGGAAGAGAACUUGGAUUGCUUGGAUGUCUCUUCAGGUAAUGGAGGGAAAAGAUUAGCAACAAAAGGGCAUUUGGAUGCAUUUAACAAGGCUUGAUGCUCUGCUACGACAUAAUCUUUAUUUUUAUCAAGAAAUUGAUCAGCUUGGUACGUAACCUGUUUACAAAUGGCUCAACAGACAAUUUUAGAUUGUCCAGCUGGAUGGUCAAGAAUAAAAUUCAAAUUAUAGCUUACAUCUCCUGCAUAGUGAUUGAUUGUGAAGUCUGUUCGAGCAAGUUUUGGCUUGCUGAAGCGUCUGUGUCCCUUGUAUGUCUGGUACAUCUUCUGUGCAAAUGUCUCAUGAGUUGACUUUGGAAACAUGCUGCAUCAGAAAUAAUCCUGUGCUUAUAUCCAAAUGAUUACAGGAAUACUGUUUUUCAUGUCUAACUGGAGAUGGUGCAAGAUUCAGGCCUUUUUUUCCCCCUAAAUUUAAGUUUUGGGGACUAGAUAUUUUAUUGCAUGAGCUAUCAUGUAGAACCCUUUUAUGCAACGGUUUGAUCAUUUUUUAGAAGGUUAACCAUUUCAUUGCUAGAUCAGUGUCUCUCUCUCUCUCUCUCUCUCUUUGAAAUUAUAGGAUUUAUGAUGUUGCAAGUAGGAAAACUACAUACCAGGCCUCAUCAAGAAGGGCUAUUAUACCCCCAGGUUUCUGCAGGCAAGGACAUAAAAUUAUUUCUCAAGAUGUCAUAAACACAAUACAUUAGUUUGAUAUUACAAUUGUCUUCUAAUAACCAGUACCUUCUCAAUGAGAUCCAAAACAUCCUGGUUAUCUACAAAUUCAACGUAGCUCCAAUUUAUUUCCUCUCUUGUAUACUCUUCUUGCUCCAUCUUAAAUACGUGCUGUGGGUAAAGAUCCAUGAGUGCUUAAGAACAAAUGUAUGCAUGGAUUGAAAUUAUUCAUAGGAAUUCUCUCUACCUGGUUAAAAUGUUGUUGCAACUUCUCAUUUGUUAGGUUGAUGCAUAGCUGUUCAAAACUACCAAAUACAAUAGAUUAGAUUUUCCUGUUAAAAAUGUCUAUUUAUUAGAAACACAGUUUCCACCAGCACCUGUUAAUCUUGAAGCUUUCAAAGCCAUAAAUAUCAAGAACUCCAAUUAUACUUGUCGCAUUGGGAUCUUGACCUAUUGAAUUGUUAAUCUUAUCCACAAUCCUGCAAUAGUCAAUGACUCCUUGUGUUCACUCCUUGUUUAAUGAGAUAAAAAUUGUUUUCAAAAAUAUGACUCAAACUGAAGCUUGUGACUGCUGUUUGAGAGAAAUCAUGUUGCCAACAUCUAUUCUGCUCAAAAGUAACUGAGCUGUAAUGUUAUGUUCAGAGACUGUCACAUUGCUUUAUUUGUGUUACUGGCUUACUCUCUACAUAUUGUUAGUAAUUAUAGUCUGGUUGAGUGAUAUUGAUUUUCUUACCAAUCAAACAGCCUAGAGUACACAGUCUUAGCUAAGGCAUCACGACUCAAGGCAGCUAAGUCUGGGUCCAGAGGUUUUGUAAUGUUUCCAUCAGGAGUCACUAUGACACGCUUGCAAAUUAGCAGAUGGUAGCGUGCUUUCUCAUCUUUGAGUUUGGAAGAAUCCGUUUCUUUCCCUUUGAUGAAGUCAAUAUUUCCAAGAUGAAGGAUUGCAGCAACUACACGGAAUAUUGCAUCCUACCGAAGAGAAAUGAACCUCAGGUAUGUGGAAUGUCUUUAUGCCGAAAGGAAAUUUCAAAUCCAUAAUUUGUUCCUGUACUAAUGUAAAGGAUCAACACCUGUUCAUCCUGGCUGAUCCCUACAAUAUCCAUUGCAUUUCUGGUCUCCAGAUACUCUCUGGCAUCAUCUACAUUUGCCACUUGAUAACAGUUGGAUUGGUUUAAAUAGUGGAAUUCUCUUGGAUCCCCUAACUUGAAUUUUUUGACAUCCUGAUAGGAAACAUCAGUCAGCUGGCUUUCCCAUGACUAUUAUUUAUAACUUGGCUGGAGUUGAAAAAAAAAUGUAUAAAAUUACCUCUGGUGGUGCUGCACAAAGCAUGUAAAAACAAUGAUAGUUUCUCUCAGGGUCAGAAACUUGGCAAACACGUGACCUUUCAAGAAGGUAAGUGCGAACUGCAGCUCCAGAGAUUUUUCCUUGCUUAUCAAACUGUAUCUCAACAAACUUACCAAAACGACUGGUUGAACCACCCAAUUUGUAAUUGUAAGUUCAACUAAUAUAGAAACGGAAAAUUUUAUUUUUGGGGGAAAAAGGAUAGUAGAGUUAAAUGGAGCAUCAAAAUUUCACCUGGAAUUGUUGUUUUUCACAGUUUUAGCAUUCCCAAAUGCUUCCAAGACUGGAUUUGACUGGACGAGUGGAAAUAUAACUAUGCAUUCCAUUGGUGGAAUCAUAUAAUAGUCAGAUAGUGUCACAUUUCUAACUUACCUCCAAAACUUGUUGUUCUACAGUUCUUCCUUCUGUGACUGAUCUGCCCCCCAUGAACGCAAGGUAUCUCAUAAGCAUCUUUGUUGUCUCUGUUUUACCAGCUCCACUCUCCCCACUUACCAAAAUGGACUGGCUUUCCUGUUCGUUCAUCAUUGCUCUGAUGCAUAAAUUUAUUAUAUUAGCUUUAUAUUAUGACAUGAUUUGAUGCAGUUUGUUUUGUGCUUAUAUACUAUACCUGUAACAAGUGUCUGCCACAGCAAAAAGGUGUGGACUCAGCUCCCCAAAAGCUGCUCCUUUGUACUGCUCCAUCAUGUGAAUAUUGUACAAAUGUGGCAGUCUUUGAAAAGGAUUCACAGCAAUUAGAAUGUUCCCAGUGUAAGUCUGCUUAUUUCAGGACUGGUUAUCAGUAUUGUGGUUUGUUGAUAGCAUCUUUAGUUUUCAAGGCUAAGCAAUUUCACAGAGAUGUAAAUUAGGUCAAUGUUGACUCACAUAUAUCUCAUUUAGAGCAAACCGACAAGCAAGGUUAUGUAAAACCCCUGGUUCAUGGAGGUAAGCCAAUUUGGUCAUGUCAUCAACUCCUGCUGGCGGUGCCUCUGUGUCUUUCGGAUAUAUGCUGGAAAUAUCUGCAACGAACUGGAGUUGAGGGCGGUCAACGUGGUUGCAAGGGAUCAAUACGCUGAAAGCAUGCCUAACUGAAGGACACUGCUGCCCCUUGUUUUGAUCAGCCUUGAAUUUUGGAGCGUUUCCAGAACAUUUUUUUGUUUUUAACAACAUCGUGACUGAAUUCUGAAGGGAGACUAGUGAUGGAAUUAGAGCCUACUGGAAACGCAUGCCCAUUUUCUCACACGCAAACGCAAGAGAAGAUGCGUACGGUAGGUUUAGCAGCAUUGUUUCGUGGGCAAACUACACGCCAAUACGCCAUACCCAUACAUUUUGGAGGUACGAUAUAUUUUUGUUAGUCAAUGACAUAAUGGACAGUUUGGUGAUUCUGAUUGUGAAGAUUAAAAGGGGCAGAUGACAACUAGAAUGGAAAUGAUGGAUGUGGACCACACAUCUUAUUUUUAACAAGUCUCACUUGAUCUGAUUUUAUUCAUUUUACAUA